CGUGUAGGCGGCAUGUUAAGUCGAGUGUGAAAUCCCUGAGCUUAACUCAGGAACUGCGCUCGAAACUGAUAUGCUAGAGUACGGGAGAGGGUAGCGGAAUUCCCGGUGUAGAGGUGAAAUUCGUAGAUAUCGGGAGGAACACCAGUGGCGAAGGCGGCUACCUGGACCGAUACUGACGCUGAGACGCGAAAGCGUGGGUAGCAAACA
rnacentral:rRNA from 1 species